CGACCUGAGAUCAGACGAGAUUACCCGCUGAAUUUAAG
rnacentral:rRNA from 1 species